CCUACGGGUGGCAGCAGUGGGGAAUUGUUCGCAAUGGGCGCAAGCCUGACGACGCAACGCCGCGUGGAGGAUGAAGAUCUUCGGGUCGUAAACUCCUGUCGAGCGGGAAGAAUACCUGUCGAGUGAACAGCUCGAGAGGUUGACGGUACCGCGAGAGGAAGCCCCGGCUAACUCCGUGCCAGCAGCCGCGGUAAUACGGGGGGGGCAAGCGUUGUUCGGAAUUACUGGGCGUAAAGGGCUCGUAGGUGGCCAACUAAGUCUGACGUGAAAUCCCCCGGCU
rnacentral:rRNA from 1 species